UAGCAUUAAAGUUAGAGGGUAAAAAGAGGUACGAAAAAAGCAAACAACAGGUCACGGAACGCUGUUUGAGGCACCUUUUCACCAAUCUUCUUCUUCUUCUUUCCCUUUUUCUUCUAAAAUAUACAAAUGGUAAGAUAUGGUAAAUAGAAGAUCUUAAGAAAAGAGAAACGAAAAGUAAAA
rnacentral:ribozyme from 1 species